GAUGAACGCUGGCGGCGUGCCUAAUACAUGCAAGUCGAGCGAACAGAUAAGGAGCUUGCUCCUUUGAAGUUAGCGGCGGACGGGUGAGUAACACGUGGGUAACCUACCUAUAAGACUGGGAUAACUUCGGGAAACCGGAGCUAAUACCGGAUAACAUUUAGAACCGCAUGGUUCUAAAGUGAAAGAUGGUUUUGCUAUCACUUAUAGAUGGACCCGCGCCGUAUUAGCUAGUUGGUAAGGUAACGGCUUACCAAGGCGACGAUACGUAGCCGACCUGAGAGGGUGAUCGGCCACACUGGAACUGAGACACGGUCCAGACUCCUACGGGAGGCAGCAGUAGGGAAUCUUCCGCAAUAGGCGAAAGCCUGACGGAGCAACGCCGCGUGAGUGAUGAAGGGUUUCGGCUCGUAAAACUCUGUUAUUGGGGAAGAACAAAUGUGUAAGUAACUGUGCACAUCUUGACGGUACCUAAUCAGAAAGCCACGGCUAACUACGUGCCAGCAGCCGCGGUAAUACGUAGGUGGCAAGCGUUAUCCGGAAUUAUUGGGCGUAAAGCGCGCGUAGGCGGUUUCUUAAGUCUGAUGUGAAAGCCCACGGCUCAACCGUGGAGGGUCAUUGGAAACUGGGAAACUUGAGUGCAGAAGAGGAAAGUGGAAUUCCAUGUGUAGCGGUGAAAUGCGCAGAGAUAUGGAGGAACACCAGUGGCGAAGGCGACUUUCUGGUCUGUAACUGACGCUGAUGUGCGAAAGCGUGGGGAUCAAACAGGAUUAGAUACCCUGGUAGUCCACGCCGUAAACGAUGAGUGCUAAGUGUUAGGGGGGUUUCCGCCCCUUAGUGCUGCAGCUAACGCAUUAAGCACUCCGCCUGGGGAGUACGACCGCAAGGUUGAAACUCAAAGGAAUUGACGGGGACCCGCACAAGCGGUGGAGCAUGUGGUUUAAUUCGAAGCAACGCGAAGAACCUUACCAAAUCUUGACAUCCUUUGAAAACUCUAGAGAUAGAGCUUUCCCCUUCGGGGGACAAAGUGACAGGUGGUGCAUGGUUGUCGUCAGCUCGUGUCGUGAGAUGUUGGGUUAAGUCCCGCAACGAGCGCAACCCUUAAGCUUAGUUGCCAUCAUUAAGUUGGGCACUCUAGGUUGACUGCCGGUGACAAACCGGAGGAAGGUGGGGAUGACGUCAAAUCAUCAUGCCCCUUAUGAUUUGGGCUACACACGUGCUACAAUGGACAAUACAAAGGGCAGCUAAACCGCGAGGUCAUGCAAAUCCCAUAAAGUUGUUCUCAGUUCGGAUUGUAGUCUGCAACUCGACUACAUGAAGCUGGAAUCGCUAGUAAUCGUAGAUCAGCAUGCUACGGUGAAUACGUUCCCGGGUCU
rnacentral:rRNA from 1 species